rnacentral:rRNA from 1 species
UACGGUGAAUACGUUCCCGGACCUUGCACACACCGCCCGUCAAGCCAUGGAAGCCGGUGUACCUAAAGUCGGUAACCGUAAGGAGCCGCCUAGGUAAAACUGGUGACUGGGGCU